AGGAACUGUUACUCCAGUAUCCAGAGGAUGAAUCAUUGAAACCAUCCACAAAAGACACACAGGAGCAGCCACCAGGCGACACUGUAGAUAUAAGCCACACUUAUGGUACGUAUCAUCAUCAGUAUGUAACAUCGGUCACUAGAUUGUCCAGGAGAAGAAAUCAUUGAUAGACUGUGUGUAACAUAAAUCAUAAUUUUAAAAACU
rnacentral:sRNA from 1 species